GACGAACGCUGGCGGCGUGCUUAACACAUGCAAGUCGAACGCUGAAGCUCAGCUUUUGUUGGGUGGAUGAGUGGCGAACGGGUGAGUAACACGUGAGUAACCUGCUCCCUUCUUUGGGAUAACGCCCGGAAACGGGUGCUAAUACUGGAUAUUCACUGGUCUUCGCAUGGGGGUUGGUGGAAAGGGUUUUUCUGGUGGGGGAUGGGCUCGCGGCCUGUCAGCUUGUUGGUGGGGUGAUGGCCUACCAAGGCUUUGACGGGUAGCCGGCCUGAGAGGGUGACCGGUAACAUUGGGACUGAGAUACGGCCCAGACUCCUACGGGAGGCAGCAGUGGGGAAUAUUGCACAAUGGGCGCAAGCCUGAUGCAGCGACGCCGCGUGAGGGAUGGAGGCCUUCGGGUUGUGAACCUCUUUCGCUCAUGGUCAAGCCGCAACAAUGGUUGUGGUGAGGGUAGUGGGUAAAGAAGCGCCGGCUAACUACGUG
rnacentral:rRNA from 1 species